rnacentral:rRNA from 1 species
CUACGGGGCGCACCAGUGAGGAAUAUUGCACAAUGGGGGGAACCCUGAUGCAGCAACGCCGCGUGGAGGAUGACGCAUUUCGGUGUGUAAACUCCUUUUAUAUGUCAAGAAAAUGACGGUAGCAUAUGAAUAAGCACCGGCUAACUCCGUGCCAGCAGCUGCGGUAAUACGGAGGGUGCAAGCGUUACUCGGAAUCACUGGGCGUAAAGGACGCGUAGGCGGGUUGGAAAGUCAGGUGUGAAAUCCUACAGCUUAACUGUAGAACUGCACUUGAAACUUCUAAUCUAGAGUAUGGGAGGGGGAGAUGGAAUUAGUGGUGUAGGGGUAAAAUCCGUAGAUAUCGCUAGGAAUACCUAAAGCGAAGGCGAUCUCCUGGAACAUUACUGACGCUAAGGCGUGAAAGCGUGGGGAGCAAACAGGAUUAGAUACCCCUGUAGUC